UACCCUGUAGAUCCGAAUUUGUGUAAGGAGUUUCGUGGUCACAAAUUCGUAUCUAGGGGAAUA
rnacentral:pre_miRNA from 1 species